CUACGGGGAGGCAGCAGUAGGGAAUCUUCCACAAUGGACGCAAGUCUGAUGGAGCAACGCCGCGUGAGUGAAGAAGGUUUUCGGAUCGUAAAGCUCUGUUGUUGGUGAAGAAGGAUAGAGGCAGUAACUGGUCUUUAUUUGACGGUAAUCAACCAGAAAGUCACGGCUAACUACGUGCCAGCAGCCGCGGUAAUACGUAGGUGGCAAGCGUUGUCCGGAUUUAUUGGGCGUAAAGCGAGCGCAGGCGGAAUGAUAAGUCUGAUGUGAAAGCCCACGGCUCAACCGUGGAACUGCAUCGGAAACUGUCAUUCUUGAGUGCAGAAGAGGAGAGUGGAAUUCCAUGUGUAGCGGUGGAAUGCGUAGAUAUAUGGAAGAACACCAGUGGCGAAGGCGGCUCUCUGGUCUGCAACUGACGCUGAGGCUCGAAAGCAUGGGUAGCGAACAGGAUUAGAUACCCUGGGGUAG
rnacentral:rRNA from 1 species